AGCGCAGGCGGGCCGGUUAGUCUAAAGUGGAAUCCCAGGGCUCAACCCUGAACGUGCUUUGGAUACUGCCGGUCUUGAGUUCGUGAGAGGAAAGUGGAAUUCAGGGUGUAGCGGUGAAAUGCUUAGAUAUCCUGAGGAACACCAGUGGCGAAAGCGACUUUCUGGCACGAAACUGACGCUGAGGCUCGAAAGCAUGGGUAGCAACG
rnacentral:rRNA from 1 species